GAAAACGAUGCUGCGUCCGAAAGCCCCGCCCCUAGGGCUUCAUCUUACUCAUUGCCGCGCGUCGCCACAACGCAAAUCCAUUAGGUGACAGUUUGGCGCGGCAUGCCGCCUCUUACGCUAUUUCCUUUGAUAAUAUCCGUAGCCAAGGGUGCGCACCCUGUGCAGUACGUUGGAACCAGGUUGGCACCUGUGCUCAGUGCGUUCAAUCAAGUUCAAUAUGUUCGGUACAUCGGUCAAAAGCACUCCAAAGCGCAUGUGGUUUAUGAGAGCUUUUUCGGCGUCCUCGAUAUUAACGCAAUUAUUGCUCCCGAUAAGCUAACAAUUAGUCACAACCCAAGGGCGGCUCAUGCUUCAGGAUACAAGCUGCGGGCCCAAACAACCAGCUGCGGACCCGAAGGGCCACAAAUUUACGCCCCGGAAUGUUACACAGCUCGUACCGUCCACAGCUCGAGCAUUGCGCGACGGCCAUUUCGGAUGCCGCUCGCCUGCCGCCCAUCUGUUAGUUUCGUCAUCCCUUUAAAGAUCGCAUGUGCGUAAAGCUCUACGUCCAUGCACGCAGCUGUACGCUUAUGCAUUCAGAUAAAUUCUCGUACUGUCGAAUCCUUUGUAGUCCUAUGUCUACAGGUCGCGAAUGCGCGGGUGGGGCUCUCCUCCUUGUGUCCUAGGCCAGCAUCGUCUCCUGGCAUCUUUAUCGCCGUCGCCCGUCUUGCCACGCGCACGGAGCCGGUGCAGCUGGGUUGCAACGUAGUCUUCGCUAGUGUGCUACCUAGGCCAGACAGGGUACACCGCCGAGCACAGCGCCGGCCAUUGUUCCCUGUAUUAACCGCGGGUCUUCACAGUUAUGAAGGCGCAGGUAGGAGCAACCAUAUCCCACGAAAUGACGAAGUGGCAGCCUACCUUGAUGUCAUGAAGGGUCCGUAUGUUGCGAAAUCCUAGACCGCCAUCGCCAGCCUUCUGCCGUGAUAUGCAACGUCCCUAACCUUGGUCAGUUAAGCGCCUUCACGCAAUGCUAAAACCUUAUUGUUGGCUUAGAUGCGACGGAGUGUAACAGCCGUCUCUUACCUUAGCUGUUUUAUUAGCGGAAGAGGAAGGUCUCGUCCACGAUUGACGACCCAGCGUUAGGCGCGAAAAGAGACAAGGGAAGUCGGGAUUCGAAGACAUACGUUGAUAGCGGUGACAGCAAGGUCUUGAACCCUGAACACUAGUAUAAUGAUACAGAAGUGUCUGGCCGAAGCACUUCACCUGGGUGGCUUAAAUGCGGCCCACCUACCGCCAUCUCCAUUCCUGGAGUCUUGGUGUCGUACGCUAGGUUGUGAUAGCGUAACAGAAAGUGAGUUCGUACAGUUAACGAGUAUGGU
rnacentral:lncRNA from 1 species